rnacentral:rRNA from 1 species
UACGUAGGGGGCAAGCGUUGUCCGGAUUUAUUGGGCGUAAAGAGCGUGUAGGCGGCUUUACAGGUCCGUUGUGAAAACUCGAGGCUCAACCUCGAGACGCCGGUGGAAACCGUAAAGCUAGAGUCCGGAAGAGGAGAGUGGAAUUCCUGGUGUAGCGGUAAAAUGCGCAGAUAUCAGGAGGAACACCCGUGGCGAAAGCGGCUCUCUGGGACGGUACUGACGCUGAGACGCGAAAGCGUGGGGAGCAAACAGG